rnacentral:lncRNA from 1 species
GAAGAGUUACAAGACGUAGAAGAAGUGGGAAUUGAAAGUCCCGAGGAGAAACUAAAGAGGAUAAGGCUAUCUUGUAAUAUAUAAAUAAGAUAGAUGACUGUUCGAUUCUAUCCUAAUGGUUUUCUCAAUCAAUUUGACGGUAGCCGCCUUCAGACCUUUCUUAUCUAUCAACUCUCAUCGUGUGUUUGAUCAUUUGAUGAAUGGUAGUCAAAAGAUUGCAGUUGUUGAGAAUGGUUCAACAUUACGCAGAUCGAGUUUGAGUUUUGGAAGUAGCUUCAGUUGGAAUUGGAGAACAGUAUAAAGCUCAAAAUUCAUUAAGUUUUUAAGCUUGUUUAUGAAUAAUAUUUUUAUUUGAAAAGUUAAGUUUUAUUUUUAUUUUUUUUAAUUUUUUAAGUUACUCAUAAGCUUUUCAAGUUGAAUUAUUGGUUUUAUUUUCUAUAAACGAGUAGGUGGCAUUGAGUUUAUUGUGUGACCUAUAAUGUUACAUUUAUUCGUUUGGCCUCUAUAACAUUAUAUUUAUUAAGAUGUCUCUUCUUAAUGUAUGACCCGCAUUAAGAAAUGCACACACUAUUAAUGUAUUUUUUAAUAAUG